AGGGAGGGAUUUGCUGGAACUUCCUAUCCCUGCCUGUCUCCACACACAGCGACCUCUACUGGCCAGUGCUGGUAUUGCAUAGUAAUCUCUUGUUUAUCCUGAGAAAAAUACCAGCAUUUGUCUUGCCAAUAUCACUGCAAUAUUGGCACCAGCCAGGCAGCCUCAAAUACUGGCUGUGCCAAUAAAAUAAAAGCCAGGUGGAAUCCCUAAGAGUAGUGUGUGAAAAAAAA
rnacentral:lncRNA from 1 species